GAACGCUGGCGGCAUGCCUUACACAUGCAAGUCGAACGGCAGCACGGGCUUCGGUCUGGUGGCGAGUGGCGAACGGGUGAGUAAUGCAUCGGAACGUACCCGGGAGUGGGGGAUAACUAUCCGAAAGGAUAGCUAAUACCGCAUAUUCUGUGCGCAGGAAAGCAGGGGAUCUUCGGACCUUGUGCUCCCGGAGCGGCCGAUGUCAGAUUAGCUAGUUGGUGGGGUAAAGGCCUACCAAGGCGACGAUCUGUAGCGGGUCUGAGAGGAUGAUCCGCCACACUGGAACUGAGACACGGUCCAGACUCCUACGGGAGGCAGCAGUGGGGAAUUUUGGACAAUGGGGGCAACCCUGAUCCAGCCAUGCCGCGUGAGUGAAGAAGGCCUUCGGGUUGUAAAGCUCUUUCGGCCGGGAAGAAAU
rnacentral:rRNA from 1 species